rnacentral:rRNA from 1 species
ACCAGACUCCUACGGGAGGCAGCAGUGGGGAAUAUUGCACAAUGGGGGAAACCCUGAUGCAGCGACGCCGCGUGAGUGAAGAAGUAAUUCGUUAUGUAAAGCUCUAUCAGCAGGGAAGAAAAUGACGGUACCUGAGUAAGAAGCCCCGGCUAACUACGUGCCAGCAGCCGCGGUAAUACGUAGGGAGCAAGCGUUGUCCGGAAUUACUGGGCGUAAAGGGCGCGUAGGUGGGCGCUUAAGUCAGGUGUGAAAACUCCGGGCUCAACCUGGAGACUGCACUUGAAACUGGGUGUCUUGAGGGCAGGAGAGGAAAGUGGAAUUCCUAGUGUAGCGGUGAAAUGCGUAGAUAUUAGGAGGAACACCAGUGGCGAAGGCGACUUUCUGGACUGUACCUGACGCUGAGGCGCGAAAGCGUGGGUAGCGAACGGGAUUAGAUACCCCUGUA